UCUCGGGGUUAUUGGGCGUAAAGCGCGCGCAGGCGGUUCCUUAAGUCUGAUGUGAAAGCCCCCGGCUCAACCGGGGAGGGUCAUUGGAAACUGGGGAACUUGAGUGCAGAAGAGGAGAGUGGAAUUCCACGUGUAGCGGUGAAAUGCGUAGAGAUGUGGAGGAACACCAGUGGCGAAGGCGACUCUCUGGUCUGUAACUGACGCUGAGGCGCGAAAGCGUGGGGAGCGAACAGGAUUAGAUACCCUGGUAGUCCACGCCGUAAACGAUGAGUGCUAAGUGUUAGAGGGUUUCCGCCCUUUAGUGCUGCAGCAAACGCAUUAAGCACUCCGCCUGGGGAGUACGGUCGCAAGACUGAAACUCAAAGGAAAUGACGGA
rnacentral:rRNA from 1 species